GAUGAACGCUAGCUACAGGCUUAACACAUGCAAGUCGAGGGGCAGCAUUUUAGUUUGCUUGCAAACUAAAGAUGGCGACCGGCGCACGGGUGAGUAACACGUAUCCAACCUGCCGAUAACUCGGGGAUAGCCUUUCGAAAGAAAGAUUAAUAUCCGAUGGUAUAUUAAAACCGCAUGGUUUUACUAUUAAAGAAUUUCGGUUGUCGAUGGGGAUGCGUUCCAUUAGUUUGUUGGCGGGGUAACGGCCCACCAAGACUACGAUGGAUAGGGGCUCUGAGAGGAACGGCCCCCCACAUUGGAACUGAGACACGGUCCAA
rnacentral:rRNA from 1 species